rnacentral:rRNA from 1 species
UACAUAGUGUGCAAGCGUUAAUCGGAAUUACUGGGCGUAAAGCGUGCGUAGUCGGUUAUUUAAGUCGUGUGUUAAAGCCCCGGGCUCAACCUGGGAAUUGCAUUCGAUACUGGAUAGCUAGAGUUCGGCAGAGGGAAGCGGAAUUUCCGGUGUAGCGGUGAAAUGCGUAGAUAUCGGAAGGAACAUCAGUGGCGAAAGCGGCUUCCUGGACCAGAACUGACGAUCAGGCACGAAAGCGUGGGGAUCAAACAGG